rnacentral:rRNA from 1 species
UGGGGAAUAUUGGACAAUGGGCGAAAGCCUGAUCCAGCCAUGCCGCGUGUGUGAAGAAGGUCUUCGGAUUGUAAAGCACUUUAAGUUGGGAGGAAGGGCAUUAACCUAAUACGUUAGUGUUUUGACGUUACCGACAGAAUAAGCACCGGCUAACUCUGUGCCAGCAGCCGCGGUAAUACAGAGGGUGCAAGCGUUAAUCGGAAUUACUGGGCGUAAAGCGCGCGUAGGUGGGUUGUUAAGUUGGAUGUGAAAUCCCCGGGCUCAACCUGGGAACUGCAUUCAAAACUGACUGACUAGAGUAUGGUAGAGGGUGGUGGAAUUUCCUGUGUAGCGGUGAAAUGCGUAGAUAUAGGAAGGAACACCAGUGGCGAAGGCGACCACCUGGACUAAUACUGACACUGAGGUGCGAAAGCGUGGGGAGCAAACG